AACACACAAGAGAGAGUGUGUGUAUGUGUGGGUUGUAAUCUCUUUUCUAAGUAGUGGAGUACUUAGUUUUUUUGAGUGAACCUCUGCCUCUCUCUCUUUGUCAUUCCCUUUGCAUACUUAGUCGUAGGACGCGAAGGUCCGGACUAGCAAUAGGGACGAAGGCUUGCCCAUCUUCGAGCAGGAAGGCGGGCGCCACACGGACUUUGCGAACAGAACCGCUAAGGCCGUGACA
rnacentral:lncRNA from 1 species